GAACCAUGGGGUCGGGUUGUUCUGCCUGGCGGAACGACCUAGGGGUACAGGGAGUACCUCCAUUUACUGGACCGGGUUCUGCAAGCU
rfam:Pseudomonas stutzeri A1501, complete genome.